rnacentral:rRNA from 1 species
GAUGAACGCUGGCGGCGUGCCUAAUACAUGCAAGUCGAGCGAACAGAUAAGGAUCUUGCUCCGUUGAAGUUAGCGGCGGACGGGUGAGUAACACGUGGGUAACCUUCCUAUAAGACUUAGAUGACUUCGGGAAACCGGAGCUCAUACCGGAUAACAUGUAGAACCGCAUUGUUCUAGAGUAAAAGAUGGUUUUGCUAUCACUUAUAGAUGGACCCGCGCCGUAGUAGCUAGUUGGUAAGGUAACGGCUUACCAAGGCGACGAUACGUAGCCGACCUGAGAGGGUGAUAGGCCACACUGGAACUGAGCCACGGUCAAGACUCCUAAGGGAGGCAGCAGUCGGGAAUCUUACGCAAUGGGCGAAAGCCUGGCGGAGCAACGCCGAGUGAGAGAUGAAGGGGUUCGGCUCGUAAAAAUCUGUUAUUAGGGAAGAACAACUGUGUAAGUAACUGUGCACAUCUUGACGGUACCUAAUCAGAAAGCCACGGCUAACUACGUG